rnacentral:lncRNA from 1 species
GGGCAGCUCUCCUGCCCUGCUCACUGUCUGACUAGCCACCCACUGUAACACCGGGUCGGUUUUGUAAACAUAUUAACUUGUUUCCGUGACUGCAAAUAUCCUGUGACUAAGAAUGCCUGAUUUCCUGGCAAUGCAGCCCAGCAGCUCUCAGCCUCAUCUGACCCAGCCCCUAUUCAAGAUGGAGACGCCCUGGUUCAGACGCCUCUGACAGAUGCUCCAAGAUGAUGUGAAGCAUCAACAUGUUCACCUCUGCUCUGGUUACAAGAGGGAUGCAGUGUUCCAGGUGUCACAUGGAGAUAGCCGGGCAUCUCAUGAAGACAGGGGCAUUUUUGUCCUUUGAUACUUUCUAUGAAUAAGGAAAAAAUUAUCUGAUAUCUCCCUUAAAACCUUUCUGGCAGGAUUGGGCCCCAUAGUGUGCCUUGCUGGAGGAGAGGCUGGAAGGGACAGUACCCGCCAUCUUUGUUCUCUCAGGUUGGAGACAGGCCCUGCUGGAGAAUGGGGAGGCACGAGGAAUAAAGAGGGUCUACUUCAGAGCAGCAGAAAAAAUGUUUCUUUCUGGAAAUAUACUGAAGAACAAAAUGUGAUAUGAAGACAUAUGGAAUAUAAAAACAAAGGGUGGACAGGCUGUGUAAAAAUGGAAUCUGUCACUCAUGUCUCCUAUUUGAUAAAUUGGAGUAUAUAUAAAUUUACUCAAUUUAAAUGCAAAUAUUUGAUUUUAGAAAGUCUCAUACUCUAUAUAUUAUAGGGCAGAAAAUUUUCAUAUCAUCGCACACUCUAUUAAAGAGGAUUUCAAACUAUUUUAAAACUGUUCAGCAGCCUUGUAAUAAAGUUAUCCUCUGAACCUCUUCACACACUUAUCAACCUUGACUUAUAUUACUCCAAAUAUUUCAGCCUGUUUCUUGAGGAUGCUUUACCUUGGGGUCUCUAAGUGUAAAGAUUUCCAGUUGUUUCCAGCACAUUCUGUCACCUUUGUUCAACUCUCCAACUUUACUUCAUUAAUGUAUAUGGAUAAUGUUCAGUUCCAUCACAUCUUAUGAAGAACUAAUGAAGCUCUUCCAGACUUAAUUUUAGGAUUCAGUGGCUGUCUGGAUUCCCUUGUAUCAGCAUUCACUUUCGUCAUCACUUGCCUUGGUAAUUUCUCCUUCUCACAACAGCAAAUUUCACGACUAACGAUGGCCCGAAGGCUCCUUCCCUCCACGGGAUUCUGCUCCAGCCACAGCAGAGACUAUUUUGCACACCUUCCAGACAUUGCUGCCCCAUUCCAGCAGAUACAAGUGCCCUUCUUGUCUCAUGGACUCAAUCAGGAGAUAUGAAGAUUGACAACUGAUUGGCAAAAGUGAAGUCACUGUGUGACCUGUCCUGAAAAGAUGGUGGCUGCAUCUAGAAACAGUGACGUGUUUGGGGAACAAUGGAGUAGAGUCAGAGACGCACCUACUAAGACAUUUUGGCUGCUGGGCACCUGAACAUGAGCAAUGUGAAGCUUCCGGUGCGUGUUUCCAUAGAGAGUUUUCUGAUAAUGUGUCAGUUAUUUUUAGCCACAAAACACUAUAAGACAACUGAGCAUGCUUUUCAGUGGCUAACAACUAUAAGCAUUAAUUUUGCUCAUGCACUAAGGGAUGACUGAGCCCUUCUGCUGGCCUGGGCCACGCCUAACUGAUUGCAGCUGGGCUAGCUCUUGCAUCAGCUGGUGGAUUGGCCUGGGGCAGGCUGGCCUGGGGUAGCUUUGGUUGGGAUGAUUUUUUUCUGCUCUGUGGUCUUUCAUCUUGUGAUAGGCUAGUCUCGGCUUUUCCUACAGUGGAGGCAGGGGUCUGAGGGAAGAAGUGGAAACACUUGAGGCCUGGGAGGCCUACUCUGAUAAUAAGCCAAGUCACCUCUGCUGCAUUCUAUUGGUUAGAGCAAGCCACAGCUCAGCCCAGACACAAGAGUUGGGCAACACCCUCUACUUCUUGAUGAGAGGAGCUAACAUGUAACUUUGCAAAUGGAAUAAAUAUAGAAAAAGGUGAAAAUUCAGGGCCAUUUUUGCAAUCAGUCCAUUACAGAUGGUUUAUUAUUGAGAAACAUCUAUACAUCCAUAUCCAUAUAAAAUUACAUAUCUGUAUCUAUUUUUGAUGUUAUAGUUGACCCCUGAUCCAGAGAAGAAAGGGAUAGAGUGUAAUAAUCUCUGCUUUCUGGUGGAUCUCCUGUUGUUGAGUAAAAGGGAAUAUGAUCAGGAAAUCACAAAUAUCAAAAGAAUGGAAUGGAUAACUGACAAAUGAUUUAUAUUCCAUAUGCGUAUGUCACAUUUAAUAAAACAAAAUUAUGGCUGAGCACAGUGGCUCACACCUAUAAUCUUAGCACUUUGGAGGCCGAGGAGGGCGGAUCACAAGGUCAAGUUUAAGACCAGCCUGAACGACAUGGUGAAACCCCGUCUCUACUAAAAAUACAAAAAUUAGCUGGGCAUGGUGGUGCAUACCUGUAAUCCUAGCUAUUCAGGAGGCUGAGGCAGGAGAAUCGCUUGAACCCAGGAGGCAGAGGUUGCAGUGAGCUAAGAUCGUGCCACUGCACUCCAGCCUGGGUGACAGAGUGAGACUCCAUCUCAAACAAACAAACAAACAAACACCCCACAAAACUACAUAAUAGGAAAAUGUACUUGAUAAUAUUAAACUUUUAAGCAGUCCUUUAGAAAUGGCUGAGAAAAGUGAUUAGGAAAAGGGUGAAAACCUCCAACACUUAGGGAAAAUCCUGUAGCUAUCAGCGGCAGAAAGCAAUCCUUAAUUUUCCGUAUGUCCCAGAGGGAAUGAGAAAGUCAACUGGACUGAGGCUGU